GGGCAAUUUUCCGUCAAGUCAGAUGUUUUCAGCUUUGGAGUACUAGUCUUAGAAAUUUUAAGUGGCCAAAAAAACACUUGUUUUAGAAAUGGAGAAUCGGUGGAAGACCUUCUGAGUUUUGCUUGGUCGAGCUGGCGUAAUGGAACAACUACAACUUUUAUAGAUCCAAUGCUGAGGGAAAGCACAGGACUGAUUCGUGACAUAAUGAGAAACAUUCACAUAGCUUUAUUGUGUGUUCAAGAAAGUGUGGCUGAUAGACCAACCAUGGCAGCUGUUGUUCUCAUGCUCAGUAGUUUCUCGUUGAGUCUUCCAAUGCCUUCAGGGCCAGCAUUCUAUAUGUACAGUAAUGUUACCGCAGAGACGUCGCUUAUUCAAGAAUACAACACAAGAAUGACAAACUCUAGUGAAGUAGCCAAAAGUAAUUCUAUUGGUUCAUCACGAAAUGAGGCGUCCAUAUCUGAGUUAUAUCCUCGUUAACAAUAAUAAACUUUUUCUUUGAGUUUACUUAUUUUAUGUGUUCCUUGGUACCACUUCAAGUGUACGUGUAUUCUAGCUAGCAGUUACUGUAAAGUUUUAUUGAACUUGAGCUAAAU
rnacentral:misc_RNA from 1 species